CGCGUAGGCGGCUUGGUCAGUCGGAUGUGAAAGCCCCGGGCUCAACCUGGGAAUUGCAUUCGAUACUGCCGAGCUCGAGUAUGGGAGAGGGAAGUGGAGUUUCCGGUGUAGCGGUGAAAUGCGUAGAUAUCGGAAGGAACACCAGUGGCGAAGGCGACUUCCUGGCCCAAUACUGACGCUGAGGUGCGAAAGCGUGGGGAGCAAACA
rnacentral:rRNA from 1 species